AAUUAAAAUAAAAUUAAAAUUGGAAAAAAUUUCAAACCUUUAAUUCCAAAAAAAUAAAAUGCCAAACCAAAAUCAAAUCGAAAAAUAAUUAAUCGAUUUUUUACUUCGAUUUUAUAGUUUGAUUUGAUCUUUCUGGCUUUAGAUUUUUCUUGCCCACCACUGCUUGCUCCCUCUACCGCCAUACAGCAUAUCGCCCGCAUUCGGCAUUCGCACAACAAGGCAGAUUGCGGAUCCUCAUUCUGCAGUCGCAGAUCGCUUUACGCCGGCACUCGCGAGUAAUCCUACCACAAACCUCCUGGCUGCCCGCACUAAACCUCAAUUCUUCUGUAUAAUCAUUCGGGCACACCUGAUGCAAGUGGGUUAUAGCGGCAAGUAAUUCUCUUUCAUUGCAGCAACCCUGAAUGAAUAUGCUGCUGAUGUUGCUGAAAAGAAGAAAUGCAGUCGCGUCUUCAGUGGUGAGCUCUUUCGUAUGUUCAAGGUUCUGUAGUUUUUGCACGGGGGACUCUAAGAUUGUUGAUAAGGAUCACGAAACUGCCCAGGUGUUGGUUAGUCAGAGUACCAGUGUCACUUCUUCAGAUUAUUCUAGCAGGUUACAUCUUUCACCAUUGUUUUCCAGUGAAAGGCUUCAUACGGGCAGAUAUGAUAUUGAGCUUGUGGACCCUGAUACUUGGCGGGUUUCAUCAGGUUUAGUGGAGGCAUGGAGAGGUGCAUAUGGGGCACUGGAAAGAAGAUCUGCAUCUGAAGAAGAUAUUGAUGAUGCAGCCAAUUGCUGCACUCGCUGUGAGGAUGACCCAGACUUUGAUGAGAUUGAGGAUAUGAGAAUUCACGGCCAUCUUUUUUAUAAAUUAGAUAGGGAUUCAAAAGAGUUCGAAGAGUACAAUUUCAAUUUUCACCGGAAGAAAUCUUUGAGGAAUAAAAAUAAGGAGAAUUUAAAUUGUAAUGUGGCUUCCGGAAGUGAAAGAUCUGUGAAGAAUAAGGAUAAGCGGGAGGACAGGACAAAGAAGAAAGGCUCCGAUCAAAACUUGUCUUCUAGUAGUGAAGAAAUUCCAAAAUUUGUAAAGAGCAGAUCUUCUUCUCUAUUUAAUGAAACAGGGAGUUCUUAUGUUGGGGAAAAGAAGUUGAGGACUCCCACUUUUAAUCAACUUACUGCGCCCUACCAUGAACCAUUUUGCUUGGACAUUUUCAUAUCGAAAAGCUCGAUUCGUGCCUGCAUUAUUCAUAGAGUGACAAGCAAGGUUGUGGCUGUGGCACAUUCCAUUUCUAAGGACAUGAAAUUCGACCUGGCCUCACCUAAGGAUUCGACUGCUUGUGCUGCUGUGGGCGCAGUUCUCUCUCAGAGAGCAUUGGCUGAUGAUAUCCAUGAUGUGGUAUACACACCAAGAAAAGGGGAGAAAUUAGAGGGGAAGCUACAGACCGUGCUUCGGUCAAUCAUUGAUAAUGGUGUUAAUGUGAAGGUGAAGAUCAAGCAAAGAAAAGCCAAGAAAGCUGUUGACUUUCUUGCAGUUUAGGAGCAUGCAAUUUGAUUGGCUGUGAUUUUAUAGACAAUGCUGUGAGGAUUUCAAUGGCAAAGAAAUAGUAAGAUUCUUCUGCCCUGCAGGGGCUAUGAUGGUGAUGCACAAUUCAUGUGCUUCACUUUGUUCAAUGAUUUCUACAAGAAAAAUUAUUGCAGCUAUUGCAACUCCAAAGAAGUUCUCAGAUUUCAAAAUUUUAUUCAGCUUUCCUCCGUCAUUCAGAAUCAUGGCAAGCAAAGGUGAAGGUGAUCGAAAGGAACCCAUGAAUGAACAAAUGGUGGCCAACUGAUAUGGUGCUAUGAGGGCGGAACUCACCCAAAUAUAUUCGAAAAUCACGGAGUUAGAUAUGGGAGUGAGUGAGCACUCGUUGGUUAUUGGAGCUAUUGAGCUGCUUGAUCUAUCCCGGCGGUGCUAUCGGAUUAUUGGAGGUGUGCUGGUGGAGAGAAACAUUUAGGAAAUCCUUCCAGCCGUCCAGCACAAUAAAGAGGGCCUCGAAGAAGUGGUUGGAAGGCUUAAUGAGGCCUUAGAGAAGAAGAUGAAGGACAUAGCCGAGUUUGAGGCUAAAUACAAAAUUCAGAUGAGAAAAUCUGAUGAUGAGGUAAAGGAGGAUAGCAGCCGGAAGGAAGGUUCUGCACAGGGAGUUCUUGUUGGCCCAGCAAGUUGAAGCCCAUGUAAAUGUUUUUGUUCCAUCUUUAUUCAACAGAACGUGCAAGACAGAAUGUGUUUAGUUUCCCUUUGAUGGUGUAUUGAGUUGUUUAGAAAAGGUUGUUUGGCAUAAUGAGGAUAUCUGACUGACAAAUUUUCUUGAAUAUGAGGUGCUUCAUGCAUUUCUCUCUC